AAAAAUGUGAAAAAAUGGCCAAUGACAACUCUAUGAUGCCACUGAUUGUAAAAUACACACAAUUUUUAUAAUCAAAAAAUGACAAAAUGUAUGCGGCCUAUAUGAACACUUGCUGUCUCUCUGCUGCCUCUAUGCCACACAUACAUCCAUGCACACAUACAUGUGCAUGUAUACAUGCUAACAUAUAUGCUAAUGUAGUCUUGUCUUUCUUAGAUUUGGUUUAAUAUUCAACGAUAUGAAUCUCCACUAAGGAUAAAUUUUGAUGUCACCAGGCCCAAGCUAUGGAAAUCUUUCUUUUCAAGAAGCCUUCCAUAUCCUGGCCUUUCCAGUGUUCAGCCUGAAGAGCUAAUUUACCAGCGCUCAGACAAAGCAGCUGCAGCUGAGCUACAAGACAG
rnacentral:lncRNA from 10 species